rnacentral:lncRNA from 1 species
AUUCAGACAAAAACUAAGAAAUGUUUUCGGCAGUUAUUAUGAAAAUUUGGUGAAUUUGAUAUAUCUAAUGAAGUAAGCUCCCUUUAGAAUUUUGUAAAUUUUAAAUUCAUCAUUUCUGAGUAAUGGAGUUUUACAUUGAAAAAGGUGGGAUUUCAGAGUUUCUGAUAACUCAAACAUGCUGUCAGCAUUUCCAUGAAAUUUAGGGAAUUGUUUAUAUCUACUGAUGAAAGUUUCAAUUUGAUUUUCAUGAAUUUCUAAUAAUAGUAUAAAAUUGAGAAUUAUUUAACUUUAUAGUUUGAAAACAAAUUAACUAAAUAUUGGGCAACAGCACAGUGUAUUGCACAACAGCAAGAAAUCUUUAAUUGCAUGUAAUUUCAAUUUUUAUAUCCAGUUUCAAGCUCUUUCAGUACAUUUAUUCAGAAACAUAUUAAAAAUAUCUAAUAUCAAUCCAAAUUAGGACCGGAAUCAAACUUGAAACUGUUCAGGGUUGGACCUUUCAGGGCGUAUCCAGCUGUGCUUAGCAAAGCAGUUUAUUUUCAAUUUGUUAUGAACUUUGAGAUAAUGCAAUACUACAUUUUGUUCAUGGUUUACCUGCCAUAGUUGUAUCAUCAAUGAUCUGUGUUUAAUUAUAGUAUUUGUGAACUGUAACAUCCAUGAUAAAUAUUAAG